UGGGGAAUAUUGCACAAUGGGCGCAAGCCUGAUGCAGCCAUGCCGCGUGUAUGAAGAAGGCCUUCGGGUUGUAAAGUACUUUCAGCGGGGAGGAAGGGAUUAAAUUUAAUACCUUUGCUCAUUGACGUUACCCGCAGAAGAAGCACCGGCUAACCCCGUGCCAGCAGCCGCGGUAAUACGGAGGGUGCAAGCGUUAAUCGGAAUUACUGGGCGUAAAGCGCACGCAGGCGGUUUGUUAAGUCAGAUGUGAAAUCCCCGGGCUCAACCUGGGAACUGCAUCUGAUACUGGCAAGCUUGAGUCUCGUAGAGGGGGGUAGAAUUCCAGGUGUAGCGGUGAAAUGCGUAGAGAUCUGGAGGAAUACCGGUGGCGAAGGCGGCCCCCUGGACGAAGACUGACGCUCAGGUGCGAAAGCGUGGGGAGCAAACAGG
rnacentral:rRNA from 1 species